GGUCCUGUAGCUCAGUUGGUUAGAGUGUUGGUUUGAUAUGCCAAAGGUCAUGGGUUCAAGCCCCAUCGGGACCA
rnacentral:tRNA from 1 species